rnacentral:rRNA from 1 species
UAGGGAAUCUUCCACAAUGGACGAAAGUCUGAUGGAGCAACGCCGCGUGAGUGAAGAAGGGCUUCGGCUCGUAAAACUCUGUUGUUAAAGAAGAACAUAUCUGAGAGUAACUGUUCAGGUAUUGACGGUAUUUAACCAGAAAGCCGACGGCUAACUACGUGCCAG